CAGCACCUCAAGUGGUCAGGAUGAUUAUUGGGCCUAAAGCAUCCGUAGCCGGCUCUGUAAGUUUUCGGUUAAAUCUGUAUGCUCAACAUACAGGCUGCCGGGAAUACUGCAGAGCUAGGGAGUGGGAGAGGUAGACGGUACUCGGUAGGAAGGGGUAAAAUCCUUUGAUCUAUUGAUGACCACCUGUGGCGAAGGCGGUCUACCAGAACACGUCCGACGGUGAGGGAUGAAAGCUGGGGGAGCAAACCGGAUUAGAUACCCCCGUAGUCC
rnacentral:rRNA from 1 species